AACGAACGCUGGCGGCAUGCCUAACACAUGCAAGUCGAACGAGACCUUCGGGUCUAGUGGCGCACGGGUGCGUAACGCGUGGGAACCUGCCCUUAGGUUCGGAAUAACUCCCCGAAAGGGGUGCUAAUACCGGAUAAUGUCUUCGGACCAAAGAUCUAUCGCCUUUGGAUGGGCCCGCGUUGGAUUAGCUAGUUGGUAGGGUAAAAGCCUACCAAGGCGACGAUCCAUAGCUGGUCUGAGAGGAUGAUCAGCCACACUGGGACUGAGACACGGCCCAGACUCCUACGGGAGGCAGCAGUGGGGAAUAUUGGACAAUGGGCGAAAGCCUGAUCCAGCAAUGCCGCGUGAGUGAUGAAGGCCUUAGGGUUGUAAAGCUCUUUUACCCGGGAUGAUAAUGACAGUACCGGGAGAAUAAGCGCCGGCUAACUCCGUG
rnacentral:rRNA from 1 species